AAAGGUUUGGUCCUAGCUUUUUUAUUAAUUAUAAGUAGAAUUAUACAUGCAAGAGUCAUCAUUCCUGUGAGAAUGCCCUACAAAUCUUUAUAGAUAUAAAGGAGCGGGUAUCAAGCACACUUAUAGUAGCUCAUAACACCUUGCUUUGCCACACCCCCACGGGAUACAGCAGUAAUCAAAAUUAAGCUAUAAACGAAAGUUUGACUAAGUUAUGCUAUAUUAUUCUAAGGGUUGGUAAAUCUCGUGCCAGCCACCGCGGUCAUACGAUUAACCCUAAUUAAUAAACCUCGGCGUAAAGAGUGUUAAAAAUUAAACAAAAAUAAGAUUAAACUUUACCUAAGUCGUAAAAAACAUCAGGUAAAAAUAAACCCAUUAACGAAAGUAAUCUUAACAAACAUGAAGACACCAAAGCUGAGACCCAAACUGGGAUUAGAUACCCCACUAUGCUCAGCCAUAAACACAAAUAUUUAACAACAAAAAUAUUCGCCAGAGUACUACUAGCAACAGCUUAAAACUCAAAGGACUUGGCGGUGCUUUAAACCCAUCUAGAGGAGCCUGUUCUAUAAUCGAUAAACCCCGAUAAACCUCACCACUUCUCGCUAAUUCAGUCUAUAUACCGCCAUCUUCAGCAAACCCCCACAGGGAACUAAAGUAAGCACAACUAUUAUCAUAAAAACGUUAGGUCAAGGUGUAACCAAUGAAGUGGAAAGAAAUGGGCUACAUUUUCUUUCAUAAGAACAUACAAAACAGUAAUCUUUAUGAAAUCUAAAGAUUUAAGGAGGAUUUAGUAGUAAAUUAAGAACAGAGAGCUUAAUUGAAUUAGGCCAUAAAGCACGCACACACCGCCCGUCACCCUCCUCAAAUAUUCACUCAAUUUUAUAUAAAUUUAAAGUACAGAGAGGAGAUAAGUCGUAACAAGGUAAGCAUACUGGAAAGUGUGCUUGGAAAAA
rnacentral:ncRNA from 1 species